CUAUCAUGGAAAAUUAUAUUUCCGCUCUGAAUUCGCAGUGGCACCCUGAUUGUUUCGUAUGCAGAGAUUGCAAGUUGCCUGUCCAAGGAAAAUCAUUUUAUGCCGUGGAAGGUAAACCGGUAUGUCCAGGAUGCAUUGGAGCUGAAGAAGAGGAAGACGAAUAAAAUGCCAACUCUUAUGCCCCUUCUCAAAAUAUGCCCUUCACCCUAUAAAAAAAUGCCCCCUUUCUGAAAUGCCCUCUUUCUGAAUUGCCCUUGAAUUUUAUUGUAGAAACUAUAUUUAUAUUUUAAUAAAGGUUGAUAAAAAAAGAAAAUAUAAAACAAAACAAAAUAUCAAAAAAAAAGAGAUCACAAGUAAUCAAAAAAGGCGGGAAAUUCCGAAUACUCUGUGGUGUGGAGUGUAUUUCUCUUCACUCUGAAGCUCGAGGCACGGAUAUUUUCAAAGUAGAAUUUAUUUUUAGAUAGCGUCUGCAUGUAAAUAUUACAUUACACCAGAUUUAUAGUCCUGCAGCUUGUGGUCUCUCUCACCCUGAAACAUAA